rnacentral:lncRNA from 1 species
UUCCCCUCUAAUCUCUGUUUUCUCUUGCACAAUAAAAGGUUAUUCCCCCUGGAGUUCUGGCUGAGAAACUCAGAGUUCUAGAACUUUACAGAAGCUCCUCUAUUGUCCUGAGAGGAACACACUUCUGGGGUGAAUUGGCCAGAGGCUUUUGGCUGGCAAGCAGGGAGAAGGAUGGAUGGCAGAGCUCUGGAAGGACAUUUUAUCCCAAUAACCUGGUGGUCAUUGAAGAGAAUCCCUAAGUGUGAAAUCAAAGCUCAGCCUGUCCUUCCAAUUCUUUGCCAUCUAGGAAAAGGGAAAUGGAAUCAAAGUCAAAAAGCGUGCAUCAGGGGCACCUGCGUGGCUCAGUGGGUUGGGCAUCUGACUUCUGCUGAGGUCAUGAACUCCCAGUUGGUGAGUUCGAGCCUGGCAUCUGGCUCACUGGUCAGUGGGGAGCUCACUUAGGAUCUUCUGACCCUCUCUCCCUCUGCCCCUCCCUGUGUGGUCUCUCUCUCUCUCUCUCAAAAAUAAAAGGUUUUUGUUUUUUUUUUUUAAGGAUGCAGGAGAUGAAACUGAAUUAAUCAGAACUUCUUGGUAACCAGUACUUUGGCCCAUCAAAAAACUCAUGGUUUAUCAUUUGGGCACCUGGGUGGCUCAGUGGGUUAAGUUUCUGACUCUUAAACCUCAGGUUCAUCUUGGGUCAUGAUCUCAGGUGAGAUGAACUUGAGCAUCUGGCUCUGUGCUGACAGCAUGAAGCCUGCUUGGGAUUCUCUCCCUCUCUCUUCACCCCUCCAUAGCUCAUGCUCUCUCUCUCUCAAAAUAAAUAAACAUGUAAAAAAAUGGUUUAUCAUUGUUGUUAGUGAAGAUCCCCAAUGUACAUAAGAUGUUUUAUCACUGUUGAAAUAGAGUGGCUUAAGUCACAAAACAAAACAGUAAUUCUGUUGAGAAGAUUUUUAUAUGAUAAUAUCCAACAUUUGUUGAAGGCUUAUGAUGUCAUACAUAUUAUCUCUUUAAAAUCACCACAUUAUAACCCUUACUGUUAAGUCUUAUGAUUAUUCCUCAUUUUAUAGGUGUGGAAACUGAGACAGAGAGUAGAAGAACUUGCCUAGGGUUACAGCUAAGAAUUGGAAGAAGCUAAGAGUUGAACUGAGGCAGGUCUAUCUGACAGCAGAUUUCUUGUGAAUAAUCUGUUAGAGAUCAUUAUUACACUAUAUUUUCUUAAUCUCCAAACUCUACUUGGAGAUUAAAUUAUACUGUAUUUUCCUGUGCAAAAAUAUAUGUUUUCAGGAGAAUGAAUAUGAGGAUAAAUAAAAUGGAACCAUUUUAUGGGAGCUUAGUCAUGUCUAGCAUAUGUGAAUAGUUCAUAGAUGAAAACAGAAGGAUUGGAGGUGAGGCCACACAUCCAGUCUUGGAGGGCCAUUUUGUGUUGAGUUAGGCCAAUUCAUCACCCCAUUCUAGUGGUGUGAGUGUGUGUGUGUGUGUGUGUGUGUGUGUGUGUGUGUGUGUGUAAGUCUCAAGCAGAGCUUCUGGAGAGGGUAUCUGUGAGCCAGUUUAAACAGGUGAAUAGGAGUUUGUGAAAUGGACAGGUAAGGGGAAAGAGUCUCCAGAAAGAAGGAACAGGAUGUUCAGAAACACAGUCCCAAACACCAUGCAUUGUUUCAGGAAUCAUAAGGAGUUUUAAAUGUCCAAAACAUACACUUCAAGAUCAGGAGUGCUGACAGUUGAGACAGGCCAAACAACAGGAGACAGAGUUUACAGGGUUGUGUUUAAUACCAAAGAGUUUGGACUUCCCAGGGCCUUCAUGAACCUGCCUUGUUUGGAAGCUUCAUAUACACAUCUGGAGUGCAGAAUAAUAUGCCUGGUAAAGAACAAAGUUAUUGAGACCAAGCAAAAUAGACUUGGAAUCACUGCAGGAACAUUCAGAAACACAACCUUCACAUGGUCAAAGCUUGAGGUCAUGAAGAAGUUUGGGUUUGUGUCACUGUUUUCUGAAGGGUGGCAUCUAAAAUCAGCAAUGCUCUUUUUUCUUCUUACUUUUUCCUGUACAUGAGCUUUCCCUAAACUGCCUAUUUGUGAUUCUCCUGCAGCACAGGCACUUAGGAAGGCAUAGAUAGUAUAUUUUUUUUUCCAAAGGUGGGGGACGGGGAAGCAAUCUGUCCAGUCCUCAAGGAAUCCUCCAUUUUUUAAAAAAAAUAUUUUUUAAUGUGUAUUUACUUAUUUUCGAGAUAGAGAGAGUGGGGAAGGGGAAGAGAGAGAGAGAGGAAGAGAGAGAAUCUCAAGCACUGUCAGCACAGAGCCCAGUGAGGGGCUUGAACUCACAAACCGUGAGAUCAUAACUGAGCUGAAAUCAAGAAUCCAAUGCUCAACUGAGCCACCCAGGUGCCCCUCCUCCUUUAUUAUUAUUAUUAUUAUUAUUAUUAUUAUUAUUAUUAUUAUUUUAAUUUUAAAGAUAGAGAGAGUGCCAGCCAGGGAGAGAGGUAGAGGGAGAAGAUAGAUUCUUAAGCAAGCUCCACGUGGAGCCUGGCAUGGGGCUUGAUCCCACAACCCUGGGAUCAUGACCUGAACUGAAAUCAAGACUCAGACACUCAACUGACUGAGUCACCCAGGAACCCCAAGAAUAGUCCUCUAUAAGUGUCUUCUUUCUACCACAGGGAUGUGACUUUCACAGCUGUGUUUCUACCCUUUGACCAAUCCUAUAGACAAAGUUGAUUGGUACAAUGUUGAGAUUUAUAAAAAGAAAUAUAUAGUAGGUCUUCGUCUUGUUUCUGGCACAGAGCUCUUAAGACUCUUGGAAUUUCCUGUGAUAAGAGCAAUAAAGGUGCCUCUUGUUAUGUUAAUGGAGUUACAUUUGGAAAGCACCAAGGGUUGGGGGCUAGUCAAUUGCCCGGAGAAGCAACCCACCUAUCAGAGGGUUGGAAUCAGUCCCAUCCUCAACCUCAGAGAAGGGAGAGGGGCUGGAGAUUGAAUUCAAUUACCAAUGGCCAAUGAUUUAAUCAAUCACACCAAUGUAAUGAAACCCACAUAAAAACCCAAAAUAAUGGGGUUUGGAGAGCUUCUGGGUUACUGAACACAUGGAGAUUCUGGGAGAUUUGUGUGCUUGCAGAGGGCAUAGAGGAUCCAGGUCCCUUCCCCAUGCCUGGCCUUAUGUGUCUCUUCCAUCUGGCUGUUCUUGAGUUAUAUCCUUUUAUAUUAAACUGGUAACCGAGUAAGUAAAAUGUUUCUCUGAAUUCUGUGAAGUACUCUGGCCAAUUAAUUAAACCUAAGGAGGGGAUCGUGGGAACCUUUAAUUUAUAGCCAGUCUGUCAGAAGUACAGGUAACAACCUGGCCUUGCAGCUGGUGUCUGAGAUGGUGUGUGGUCUUGUAGGACUGAGCCUUUAACCUGCGAAUCAGAUGAUCCACUUCCAGGUAUAUAGUGUCAGGAUUGAGUUGAACCGUAGGAUACUCAGCUGGUGUUAGAGAAUUCCAUGGAUGUGUGGGGAACACCCACCCCCCCUUUGGAAUUGGGUGUUAGAAGCUUAACUGGACCAAAGAAAGACACAUGGCUUAAGUUACUUUAGACAGAUUCUCACCAGGAAUGUGAAAUAGGAAUUCAGACCACCAGUAUGUGUGAAUGAUGGAAUAAGAACACAUUAAAAACUUGGACAUCUGGGACAGCCAUUUUUUCUAUGGACGAAGAAGCACAGGAACAGGUAUAUAAAGAGAAUGGAAAAGAUGCUCAGAGAGAUGCAGAAAUGAAAGAGAGGGAGUACUGCCUGGAUCCCUAGCUACUGUUCAUGGUUCUGACAGCAAUUCUGUUCUGUGGCCCAACUAUAUUCCUCCCCUCGAUUCCAUGGGACAUAGUUUUUUAGUAAAUCCUUUUGGGUUUUGUUUUUGUUUUUGUUUUGCUUGAACUCUUUUGAAUUGGCUUAUGUUACUCGAAACUCAAAUGCUUUCGACAGUACCUAAAUCCCCACCUGCUAGUGGCCACCAAGAAUCAUAAAGACCAAGCGGAUAUACAGGAGGAUAUGAGAAAAAUCUCAAGUGCAAAUAUUGCCCAAUCAAUAUCUAAAAGGCUGAAACACAUUCAAUUUCCAGGACCUUUUCUACAACAUGGCGUGUCCACUCCACAAAUGCCUCUUUGAUCAAUCUGGUGCCAAAGCCAUGGCUAAUGUGUACUUGGUUCAGCCGUGGCUGAAGAUACUGGUUUGAUCCCCAUGGAUAGCCCUUGUUAGAUAUUCCUUUCUUUACUUCCUCAGCCCACAUAAAUUUCUUCCGCCUCUUUCAGGGAACGUUUGUACAAGUAUUACAGUACUUACCACAGUCAGUAUGGUGCCAUCAUUGCUUCUGUACAGCUCAGCCUCGCCCAGCAAAUCAUGUGUCAUUGAGAAGACCGUGUCUUCUCUCCAUUUUGCCCACAGUUAUCUUCACAAAAUCUUGAACCUACAAGCCCUUCAGUUACUGCCUUUAGAAUAUUUUUAAAGGGAAAAUUUCACCAAUGAACAAGGUCCAUGUUGGUAUAUGAUUUUCUCCUUCCUAGAAACCAUUUGAAGGGGAAUGGAGUGAUAUCUGUGGGGGGACCUCAGUUUGGAGCCUGCAGCUUCCCCCACAUCAAGUUGAGGUUUAGAGAUGUGUUCAUGCUUUAGAAUAAGGGAAGAGAAAAGGGGUUGUUUCCAUCCAGGGUGCAGAGCCCAGGAUCUCUCAUGGGAGCUGUCAAACUUGCUGCCAUCUCCCCUAUUUGGAGCAGACCACACUUUGUCUCUUUUCCAUUACAGUGAGAUAAGAGGUUCUAGAACUCUGAGAAAAAGAGAUUGACUCAAAGGAUUGACCUUUUCUUGCUAUCUUAAUAGCCAAACUAUAUCCACAAACAACACACAUUUCUUCAAGUAUCUGAGUGGCUCUGACCCUUAGGGUCAGAAAUAACACCCUACUGCCCUCACCAGGCCACUAAUGCAGCAAAGGAAAUCCAUUGCCUAUCUUCAGAAUUCAAGGGAAAGUUUAUUUGUGGAGAAAUACUGAGAAACAAGCCAACCAAAUUCUUAAUCAAAGGGGCUCUCACCAAGACUUUAGAUUUUUCUCAUUUUUUCUUAGUAUAGACAUAAAACUACCUUAUAAGAACUCAUUGUGACCUCUGACCUAUCAAAUGGUCCUAACUUUAGUAUUUUCUGUUCUUGAAAGAGGGAAGAAAAUUCAUCUCAUGGUUCCUGCUAAACUUUCAGAUUUCUACUUUCCAGCAACUUUCCAAAGAGUCGUCUACAAGACUCUCAACCCAGCUUCUAGAAAAUUGUAGAGGAAAAUCUAAACUCAGCUUUGUAAAUCCUUGUGAAAAGAACAGACAGGGCCCUCAACUCUUUUUCAUCCUGAUUAGGAUUUGCUCUGUGCUUUGUUGUAGACCUUCCAGAAGCUAGGACUUGUAAGGACACCUUGAAGGCAAGAAGAACAGAUAAACAUUUUAUUUAAUAAAGGUUUGUUGGUUUCCUACUGUGUGUUCAACACUUUUCUGACCACUGUGGAAAAAUGGAAGCAAAUAUAAGACCAGAAGCUCAAUACUUUUAAUAUGUUAUAAAUGUUCCAGGAUUUUCCAUGUAAGAAGUGUUUUCACUUACUUCACUUAAUAUUAGCGACAUUUUUCUUGAGACAGCAAUGUGAUAGAUGAGGAAAUCGAGGCUCAAAAUGGUUAAGGCACUUGCCCAAAGGUUACAUGAUGAUGUAAGUUUUCAUAUAUGAUUGUAUAAUGAAACUAGAAUGCCUAGUUUUCUUACCCUUGGUGCAGUAGGCUUUCCAUUCUCCCAUGUCUCUGCUUAACAUACAUGGGGAAAUAAGAUAGAUGAAGCCAGGCAGGCCAUGUGUGAUUGAGUGUUAAACUACAUAGUUCAAUAAAUUGCCUGAAAAGAUACAGAGGAGAAAUUGGUAUGAGCCAAAGCGUCAUGGAAAGUCUCAUGAAGGACAAGUGUCUUAGGUUGGACCAUGAAGAAUAAAGACAACCAUGAAAGGGAUGGAAACAGUAAGCAGAGGAAAGUGCCUCAAAGAGGCUGGUAGUUUUCCAGAGUGUGGGACUUAAGAAAAAAAUAAAAUGGAAAAUGCUAAAACCCAUUUUGAAGAAGUCUGAGGAACCCGAGCAGAGGCAGUAAAAAUGUCAUUCUUCAGUCUCGGCCAGACCAGGGGGCAGAUACGAGGCAGAAGAGAAGCUUGAAAUUCAGCAAAGUAAAUGAAGAGCAGUGGAAAGAAAGGGUCUGCUCUGCACUGAGAACAGCAAGGCCCUCCUGCAAGCAUUCUCCAGAGCUUCAGUCUCUAAGAAGAGAGACCAUCAGAAUGCAGAGCUUGACAACUGUUCCAGAACUCCAUUCUCCAAGACACAGGUGAUAUGCAACUGCUCCCAGCUCUACCUUGAGUUCCAUGCAACCUUUACUGCAUGGUGAUAUCAAAAGGAUGGGAGGUGAUGGCAGAGAAAUUAGGUGAUCUUUGGCACCAGAGAGAGAAUUCUGGUGUGGUUCUUGUCCUCCUCCCCAGAAUUUCCAUACUGGCCUCUUUCCUUUGUUUAACUCUGUCAGAAACAACACUAACAUCUCGGGGCCAAGGUAAACUUGGAGAGCCCAGGGCUUCUCAUUUGGUUGGUGGCAGAAUCAUUCUGCAGGUCUUUUCUCUGCUGUUAUCUUCUAGAGCUGAUGACCAUGGAACCAAGGGAGCAGUUGAGUUGACCCUGAAGCAGAAGGAUCUGGACCACCUAAGUCUGAGGUGUGUGGCUGGAGGAACCCAUUUGUGCAUUCCACAUGGCAAAGAAAAGUCAAGGUCAGUGAGGCAGGCAAUCAUGGGACAUGCUUUUCCCUGCCUCCCCCACCUGACCCACUUCUCAUGAUCCACCUGCUUCAGCCACCUCAGGCCCCGUCCUAGCUGCCAGAUGCUAACUGAGGCUGUUCCUCAAAUUGCCAGGAGAUUGCUAUCCAAACUGUCACCCCCUGAUCAGAAAAGAAGGAGUUAUGGAAAGUAACUGACAGCACCUGAGCGAUCUCUCAUUUGGAUUAAAUCAAGAUCUUUAAAUAUU